rnacentral:rRNA from 1 species
UACGUAGGGUGCAAGCGUUGUCCGGAAUUACUGGGCGUAAAGAGCUCGUAGGUGGUUUGUCGCGUUGUUCGUGAAAACCGGGGGCUUAACUCUCGGCGUGCGGGCGAUACGGGCAGACUGGAGUACUGCAGGGGAGACUGGAAUUCCUGGUGUAGCGGUGGAAUGCGCAGAUAUCAGGAGGAACACCGGUGGCGAAGGCGGGUCUCUGGGCAGUAACUGACGCUGAGGAGCGAAAGCGUGGGGAGCGAACAGG